rnacentral:rRNA from 1 species
GACGAACGCUGGCGGCGUGCUUAACACAUGCAAGUCGAGCGGAAAGGCCCUUUCGGGGGUACUCGAGCGGCGAACGGGUGAGUAACACGUGAGUAAUCUGCCCUUCACUUGGGGAUAACCUCCGGAAACGGUGGCUAAUACCCGAUACGACCAUUCCUCGCAUGAGGUGGGGGGGGAAAGUUUUUCGGUGGGGGAUGUGCUCGCGGCCUAUCAGCUUGUUGGUGGGGUAAUGGCCUACCAAGGCUUCGACGGGUAGCCGGCCUGAGAGGGUGACCGGCCACACUGGGACUGGGACACGGCCCAGACUCCUACGGGAGGCAGCAGUGGGGAAUAUUGGACAAUGGGCGGAAGCCUGAUCCAGCAACGCCGCGUGAGGGAUGACGGCCUUCGGGUUGUAAACCUCUUUCACCUGUGACGAAGCGAAAGUGACGGUAGCAGGAGAAGAAGCACCGGCCAACUACGUG